rnacentral:misc_RNA from 1 species
AAGUCGUAACAAGGUUUCCGUAGGUGAACCUGCGGAAGGAUCAUUAACAAAUUCAAUUAUCCGAUUGACCCUUUGUGAAUUGGCGAGCAUCCGGGUGCGUCUCCUUUGGGGGGCGUGCGCGGGCUUGCGUGCGCGGAGGCCGCUGCAGCCGUAACUGGUGUCGCAGCAGCGCCGUGCAUCAUAAACGCUUUAAAGGUUUGGCUUAUGUGCGUGCCUUGUGCAUGCGAUACACAACCAAUAAAGACAACUUUUAACAAUGGAUCUCUUGGCUCUU